GGAAAAAAAUUUCGGCAUGUUAUUAUCAAAUCUGUUCAAUUUUUCUGAAAUCAUGCUUAAUUAACAUUAGUUGUUCGGCGCUACGAUGUUGUUCAAAUACUUACAUUACAGAAUCACAUUAUGAUUAAAGCAGAAACGGUUCGACUUGAACCAGCAGGUAAGAAUCUGUUUUGAAAUUAUAUCUUGGGAGGUUGGAUUGGCGUUGGAGACCCGAUUGGCGGCCAUUUUGAUUCUUGUUUCAUGAUUUUUUUUAUAUUAUAACGAUUUUGCCAAGAGUAGACAUAAACGCGGGCACAGACUAGAAAAAAAUCUUUUUACACUUUUGUGUUAGUUGAAUUGUAAUCUAAUUUAUGUUUAAAAAAACAACCUUAAAUCUAAUAAGCAGACGGAAGAUAUGGACGAACAACAAGAACAAGUUAUGGAGGUCCCAACAACUGAACUUAUGGAAGUAGAAGAAUCGUUUACAGCCGAAACCCGAUACGAUGUGCCAGUUCCGGUUAUGGAGUCCUCCAUCUCAGACGAUGCCGACGUUAGUGUCUUCUGCGACGAAGAACCCGUAGUGGUGUAUCACUAUAAACCUCAGAAUGCCUCGUUCGGCAUUUCUGUCCAAACGAGGCAAAAACGUGUCAAAAUUUUUGCCCCGAUUUUGCCUCGUUGUAACGAGGUAAAAAAAAUACCUCGUUUCUCUGGAGUUCCAAAACGUGUUUUUUUUUAAAUUGCCCUGUUUUUGGAACGAGGUAUUUUGUUCAGAACGAGGCUGGGUAAAAUGGCCUCGUUUACUAAACGAGGUAUUUUAUCCAAGAUAAUUAUUAGCGGUAUUUGCUGUCGACAAAUAGAGCCAUACAAAUAAUGUUCGGACCAUCAUGUGACCAAUUGCAGAUCUACAAAUUAGAUUAUUUAUUUGGGACAUGAUAUUGUUCAUAGUUAUGGCUUACUACACUGGAGUUCUAUUAUGUAUAAUAAACGCUUCCCGAGCGAAACAAAACAUAACAAUGUCACGUGACAAUAUUACAUAUGGCGGAUACAAGCGUUCUUUGAUUACAUGCUGUUUGGUUUGAUUAUUAAAUAAUACGGCAAUCUGUAUAUAUGGGAAAAGGAGAAUGAAUUUCCCCAAAUCCAAAACUAGAUGACUGGAAUAUUUAUUGAAUGGAAAGUAAAUAUUUUAUAAACAAAAAUAUUCGGAUUUGCAGUAUCCUAGCUUGGAUGGAUUUGUGAUUUGAAUCUCGAACUCAGUGUUUUAUACAUUUUAUUAUAAAAUUGUAAUAAAUGUUUUACAUGAAUGAACAAAAUCUACAAUUUAAAACAGUACAAUAACAUUGUGAUUUGACGCUCUACAAAUCACUAAGAGUAUAACAAUUGCUUGUUGAAAAAGCGUUAAUAAUAUGUUUUUUUCCAUUUAUUAUUUUUUAAAAAUAUAUUCAAAAAGAAUGCGUCUUUUACAGAUUUCAAUAUAACCACAAAUGGUUGAUUGUUUUAAUGCUAAGAUAAGUAUUAAUGGUUUGUAUUUGAAAAUCAAAUUAUAUAAGCGAAAAAUAGUAAGAUACAUUAUGUAUAUCUUAAAACACUCCCUUCUCAGUUACUACUUCGGCGAAUAUCGUUUGAUAAUUUAGAUGAUCAGAAUUAAACACCGUUUUGCUAUGUUAUUAUUGUUUUAUGAUUGGGUGGGGGUAUACUUAAUUAGGGGAUUGGAUUGAAAGAUUAUAGCUACCAUCUUAUGGGGACAUAAUGUGUGGUGCAUUUACGGUCUUAUAAAGCUCUAUUCUUACAUAAAGAAUUCUUGAUUCGCACGGAAGUGUUUUAGCCGUGAUCAUUUUAAGUCAUGCUUAUGCCAAGAUCUGGUCCAUCUCUGAGACAACAAAAACGUAAAUAAAUGGAAGAUAAAAGCAAGAAAGACAACCCUAAUAAAGGAGUCAGGACUAAGACUAGUAAUUAUUUCCCCUUAUUUCAUGAUUGUCGAAUGUAGUGCGAGUUAUAAAUAGACAAUUUUUCCCUUAAUUUUUUUCUCCCCUCUUCCUGCAUUUUUGGGUUGACUUUUUGGUCUAGAAUUGGAGAAAAGGGAUCAAAUUUGCAAUUUCAUAGCAGUUUUGGGUAAUACUGAUGAUAUUACAGCGGAGGGAUAGGGGGUGUAAAGUGUCUUUCUGCAGAGCAAUCAUUGUGUCGGAAGUGAGAUUUUCACCCCUGUCAACUUCAAAUCCGUGUAGCAAAAAAUCUAAACGGUCAACCCCCUACAAAAUUAUGAUGAGGAGAUUGCCAAAUGUUGUCCCCAUUGUGCCUAUAAAGAUUGGAACCAACGGAAUGUUGAGCAAAAAGCUACAGCCUGUGAUGUUACAGUCAUUUAACAUUGAAGUCAAUGGGCAAAUAAUUGCUAGUCUGACUCCUGAUGAUAAAGAAGCAUGGCCGACUCGGGGUGUUGAUAUUUUUUCAACGGCUUAUUUCCUGAAGUUUUGAAUGGAAAGUGUCAGAAAUGGUGCCAGGGCAAUGUUUUAUAGAGUGGAAUGAUUGACCUCAACACAAGUAUUAAAAAAAAAAGAAGCAAAACAGGUCUACAUCUCAAAACCUGAUCUCUUCCUCUACUGGCUUUAGGAGAACGAUGAUGCAUAUCAAUUUCAUCCCUGAUCUCUAUGACACCUGUGGUGGAAGAGGAGGGCAAAUCGUAAUCAGUUUGGGUUCCAGGCCCGAGGACCUCUGUAAACUUUGCUUUUUGGUGAUGACUUAAUUUCCGAGCUUGAAAAGGACGCUUGUGUUUUUAUCAUGGCCUCUCAUAUUGGAAGAUAACAUUAAUGGCUUGUGUGUUGAUCGACGGUUGUGCAUAUCUCUUGGUCAGGAAAGUUGUAGGCACCAUCGCCAUUGUAAAUCAUUUGACAGGCCCGUGUGAACGGGGCGACCUAUGAUUGGUCAGCAAUGUAUCAGAUUCCAUACCGGGGGGUGGGGAUGAAAAAACUGUUGUAGUGUUACAUAAUCAGAUUAUUUCAACUUACUUAUCCUGUGGAAAUACAGCUAUAUGGGAGAUAUUUUUAAAUUAAUAGGCCCUGCAUGUUUCAACAUUUUAGAUUUGACCACAAUCUGGCACUUGAAACUAUGUUAACAGAGAAAAACUGUGUGGUUUUCGAUGAAAGUGUUAAAAGUCUAAUAUUGCAUCAUGAUUACUGUUUUAAAGUAUUUUCGUGUUUGAUUUAUAUUGAAUUCAUCUCAUCUUUUUGAAGAAUGCAUUUAUGUUCAAAAAUAAAAAUGUUCUGUGGAAUUCAAAAUUCAUGUGCUUUUAAAUUAUCAGAUUCCAAACUGGGGGAUAGGGAUGAAAAAGCUGUUGUAGUGUUACAUAAUCAGAUUAUUUCAACUUACUUAUCCUAUGGAAAUACAGCUAUAUAGGAGAUAUUUUAAAAUUGAUAGGCACUGCAUGUUUCAACAUUUUAGAUUUGACCACAAUUUGGCACUUGAAACUACGUUAACAGAGAAAAACUGUGUGGUUUUCGAUGAAAGUGUUAAAAAGUCUAAUAUUGCAUCAUGAUUACUGUUUUAAAGUAUUUUCGUGUUUGAUUUAUAUUGAAUUGUAUUUAGAAAACGAAGGAAACCGAAUGACCCAGCGAAAAAACUCAAGAGAUUGGACAGGCGACUCUACUCCUUGAAAUUGAAACCAUGCCACUUAACACAAUGACAGACCCUGUGAUUUCAUGCGCAUGCAUUACCUACUAGACCAUUCCCCCCAGUCCCACCCCAUAUCGAAUAAAAGUAUGACUUAUUUCAAAUAUGAUAUUUACAUAUAAAGAAAGUAGAGAGACUUCAAUCUUACUAGAAAAAUACUAGAUUACCUGAAAUGAAAUGGGGUUUAAAGACAACGUCCUACUGGUCAGCUCCGACUGGUCUAAUGCAUUGUGCUAAGUGAAAAUGUUUGUCUGGGCAUCGACACUAUGGCCUACUCUCAUACCGAAUUCAAAUUUAGUUAGUGUUAGUUGUAUUUUACGUCCGCUUCCACCGAGGUGAUAUCGCAGACAAUGACGUGUUAUGUGUACAAGGUGCAUUAAUUUACAAUGUGAUUAGUGAGAAAUAUUAGGAUGGUUAGGUUUUCAUAUAUAUGUACAUAGGACAAUAAACAACAGUAGGAUAACAUGUGCAAAGGACGAAACAGGUGCCAGUAGACAUUUACAAACAUGCGAUUUGACGGAACAGACAUGGACAAAGACGGACAUUUUCACAGACAUAGACAUAUUAUGUACAUAUAUAUAUAUUUUGGGUCGAUUGGGUUGGUCUGGUCGUUCUGUCCGGUAGAAUGGCAGGGCGGUGCAACUCUACCUUGGGGCUUUGUUGGUGAGUUUGAGUCCUGGUCCAUUCUUCCUUCCAUUUGGGUAUGUUGUCCGGUAUGGUAGCGUUUUUACAUCUUUAUUUAUGUUAUUCAUUCCUUUUAUUGUUGGUUCUCUGAAGGAAGAAUCCAGCACCUGAAAAAGAAAGCUAGAGAAAAGAGAGUAUCUGAUCUUACUGUGAUUUUUUGGUUAUGUGUACGCCAAUGUGUACAUUGGAUCUCAGGGGAAACCACUCUGCAAAAUCAAGAUGAGCUUUCUCGGUCAACCCCAAGAGAUAACCUGUGGCCUCCAUGCUAGUGUGCCAGCACCUAAUUUACUCAGUCACCAUGGCCGUCUUCUAAUUACUGUGACAGUGAAACCAUGUGACAAACAAGGAUUAUUAAGAUAGACUUUUACGGCUUGGUAGUUCCUUGGGAUUAAAACUUUUGAUACAUAUAGAUACAUUAGUUUCAAUUUCAUAUCACACAGUUUGUAUAUAUGGUAAGGUAGCUUUAAUCGUAAAUUAC